rnacentral:tRNA from 1 species
CGCGGGGUGGAGCAGCCCGGUAGCUCGUCAGGCUCAUAACCUGAAGGGCGUAGGUUCAAAUCCUACUCCCGCAACCA